rnacentral:rRNA from 1 species
GAUGGGGACUCCUACGGGAGGCAGCAGUGGGGAAUAUUGCACAAUGGGCGCAAGCCUGAUGCAGCCAUGCCGCGUGUAUGAAGAAGGCCUUCGGGUUGUAAAGUACUUUCAGCAGUGAGGAAGGUGGGUAUGUUAAUAGCAUACUCAUUUGACGUUAGCUGCAGAAGAAGCACCGGCUAACUCCGUGCCAGCAGCCGCGGUAAUACGGAGGGUGCGAGCGUUAAUCGGAAUUACUGGGCGUAAAGCGCAUGCAGGUGGUUUGUUAAGUCAGAUGUGAAAGCCCGGGGCUCAACCUCGGAAUUGCAUUUGAAACUGGCAAACUAGAGUACUGUAGAGGGGGUAGAAUUUCAGGUGUAGCGGUGAAAUGCGUAGAGAUCUGAAGGAAUACCGGUGGCGAAGGCGGCCCCCUGGACAGAUACUGACACUCAGAUGCGAAAGCGUGGGGAGCAAACAGGAUUAGAUACCCUGGUAG